AUAAUACUCCCUCCGUCCGGAAAUACUUGUCGGAGAAAUGGAUAUAAAUGAUAUCCAUUUCUCCGACAAGUAUUUCCGGACGGAGGGAGUAGUUA
rfam:Triticum aestivum genome assembly, contig: Triticum_aestivum_CS42_TGACv1_scaffold_288439_4AL